UACGAAGGUGGCAAGCGUUGUUCGGAUUUACUGGGCGUACAGGGAGCGUAGGCGGUUGGAUAAGCCCUCCGUGAAAUCUCCAGGCUUAACCUGGAAAGUGCAGAGGGGACUGUUCAGCUAGAGGAUGGGAGAGGAGCGCGGAAUUCCCGGUGUAGCGGUGAAAUGCGUAGAGAUCCGGAGGAACACCGAUGGCGAAGGCAGCUCUCUGGGCUCUUUACUGACGCUGAGGUGCGAAAGCGUGGGGAGCGAACGGG
rnacentral:rRNA from 1 species